AUUGUCCUACGGGAGGCAGCAGUGGGGAAUAUUGCACAAUGGGCGAAAGCCUGAUGCAGCAACGCCGCGUGAAGGAAGAAGGGUUUCGGCUCGUAAACUUCUAUCAACAGGGACGAAAGAAAUGACGGUACCUGAAUAAGAAGCCCCCGCUAACUACGGGCCAGCCGCCGCGGUAAUACGUAGGGGGCAAACGUUAUCCGGAAUUACUGGGUGUAAAGGGUGAGUAGGCGGCAUGGUAAGCCAGAUGUGAAAGCCUUGGGCUU
rnacentral:rRNA from 1 species